rnacentral:rRNA from 1 species
UACGUAGGUGGCAAGCGUUGUCCGGAAUUAUUGGGCGUAAAGCGCUCGCAGGUGGUCCGUCGCGUCGUGCGUGAAAGACCCCGGCUCAACUGGGGAGGGUCGUGCGAUACGGGCGGACUGGAGGCCAGUAGGGGGAUGCGGAAUUCCGGGUGUAGUGGUGGAAUGCGUAGAGAUCCGGAGGAACACCAGCGGCGAAGGCGGCAUCCUGGACUGGUCCUGACACUCAGGAGCGAAAGCGUGGGGAGCGAUCCGG